rnacentral:tRNA from 1 species
UAUUGUAUAGUGUAUAAAUAACACAGUAAAUUGCAAAUUUAAAAAAGUCUCUACUACAAUAA